GACGAACGCUGGCGGCGUGCUUAACACAUGCAAGUCGAACGGAAAGGCCCUGCUUUUGUGGGGUGCUCGAGUGGCGAACGGGUGAGUAACACGUGAGUAACCUGCCCUUGACUUUGGGAUAACUUCAGGAAACUGGGGCUAAUACCGGAUAGGAGCUCCUGCUGCAUGGUGGGGGUUGGAAAGUUUCGGCGGUUGGGGAUGGACUCGCGGCUUAUCAGCUUGUUGGUGGGGUAGUGGCUUACCAAGGCUUUGACGGGUAGCCGGCCUGAGGGGGUGACCGGCCACAUUGGGACUGAGAUACGGCACAGACUCCUACGGGAGGCAGCAGUGGGGAAUAGUGCACAAUGGGCGGAAGCCUGAUGCAGCAACGCCGCGUGCGGGAUGACGGCCUUCGGGUUGUAAACCGCUUUCGCCUGUGACGAAGCGUGAGUGACGGUAAUGGGUAAAGAAGCACCGGCUAACUACGUG
rnacentral:rRNA from 1 species